rnacentral:RNase_P_RNA from 1 species
UUAAUAAAUCGGGUGAUUGCUCCAAUUUGGAGAGGAAAGUCCGAACUGCCAUUCCUGAUUCAAGGUCUAAAAAACAGUGGGUAACGCCCAUCGUCAAGGGAAACCUUGAUAGAGAUGCGAACAGAGACGCUUUAAUUAGAAAUAAUUAAAGAAUCCUGAAAAGGAUUAGGUUGGAAGUAAUUCCAAUUGUGAAACGGCUAAAUUCUUGUUGGCAGCAAGAACAAACUCUUUUUUAAGAGAAAAAGUAGUUCGCUUGAGCUAAAGAGAGAUCUUUGGCCUUAGAUAGAUAAUCACCUAUAACAGAAUUCGGCUUAUAGAUUUAUUAAGGCA